rnacentral:rRNA from 1 species
CGGGUGAGUAACGCGUGGGGAACCUGCCUCAUACAGGGGAAUAACAGUUAGAAAUGACUGCUAAUGCCGCAUAAGCGCACAGUGUCGCAUGACACAGUGUGAAAAACUCCGGUGGUAUGAGAUGGCCCCGCGUCUGAUUAGGCAGUUGGCGGGGUAACGGCCCACCAAACCGACGAUCAGUAGCCGACCUGAGAGGGUGACCGGCCACAUUGGGACUGAGACACGGCCCAAACUCCUACGGAAGGCAGCAG